AGCAAAUCACUUCAUUCACCUGUUAGUUGUUACUCAUGGAUUGACGAACAAGCAUUAGAAUAAUAUUAUGUAAGAGCAGGGAUUUCUACAUAUUUAUGAUGCAGGAUGUGUCGGAAGAGGAGGCGGUUGGCUGUGGCCCGAGAAACCACUCAGAGGAUUGAGGGAGGUAGUCAAAUGUCGAGUCGUUGAAGAGUGCGAGGAAAACAUUAAAUCUCAGUACAGUUAGAAUAAUAUGAAAUUGCAAAGGAACGAUGGUAUUUGUCUCUUCAUAAACCUUAUUUUUGUCCAAAGCGAACGAAACAGGCUGCAUGCCGUUGUUACCUAAAGGCUCAAAUCCUCGAACUUGUAUAUUUAGGACUGUGAAUUCAUACUUCCAAUGUAUCAAGCCAAGUUAUGAAAACCAUAUCAAGUGACUUAUAGCCUCUUUCAACGAAUUUUUAUGUGUAUGUUACAAUGACAUUUGAAUAUUAAUGCCAAUAUUUUCAAUAUUUAUUCGAUGGAAACGGAGUAAUUUGAUGUUUUUGACAGAUAUUUCGCUUACCUCUUCUCAACAACAAUUUCUCUUAAAUACUGCAAAUAUGGCUUAUCCCAGCUUCAUGUAAUUUCUUCAGAUGAUAAAUUUAAACUUUAAGAAUAAUACUAAACAUUCAAAAUAAAAUCUCUUUGAGAAAAGGAGACUUGAAUACCUAUUAGUAAUUUCAAAAAAUUGUACUCUUUCUCUCCUCUCCUACUCAGAGGGAUCUGCUCAUACUGAGACUAAAUGGGAGGGGCUUGUAGUCCUUUUAACAUACCUUGGAAUAUGAAACUAUGUUUGAAAUGAAUAAUAAUUUGUCUUCAGUGAUAUUUAUCAAAGAAUAUGUAUUACAACUCUAUAUAUUCAUUCAUUUCUAUUUAGAAUGAUAAUCUGGCUCCAAUUUAAUUUAAUUGUAAAACAAAUAUUAAUAUAAAUUCAUUUUCUUUUAUUGAAUAAACGCAAAUACAUAUUUAAUGACGACCCUAAUGUAAUUAUCUAAUUUGGUUAAUUUCAGUACGGUCGUUUGGGCCAAAUUUAUGUGAAGGUUUCGGGCCUUCAAGGUUUAGGUGUCUUAUAUUACUCUUAACUAUGACUAUUGUAUUUUAAAAGUUUGCCAUUUGUGAAACUGUUAUGUAUAUUUAACUCUAUGUUUACUAUUCAAUUACAGAAAAAUACAAUCUCA
rnacentral:lncRNA from 1 species